rnacentral:lncRNA from 1 species
GGAAGUGGUGCGACCAUUAAGAGUCUAUUGCAAGCUUUCAGAUGAUACAACAAAGGCGUGAACUAGAAUGGUGGUAAAAGGGUUGGAGAGGAGUGGAUGGAUUCCACCUACACAAUACAAUCAAAAACUGGUGAAGCCAGGAAAAUGUACACGGACCUCUAAGUGGAGGAUAUGGAGACAGCAAAGGAGACAGAAGGCAGAGACACAGGAAGAAAUUGGAAGAUCUGGGUGCCAGGGAGGCUCUGAGAAGAAAGUACAUGAAGAAAUUAUCUGAGGGUCCAUGUAAGAUAAAGUCAAAGAAUGACCCAGAUAUCAUAGAGGGUCAUAGUAGCUAAAGUGUAUAACAUUAGCUUCUG